rnacentral:misc_RNA from 1 species
AACGCACCUUGCGCUCCUUGGUAUUCCGAGGAGCAUGCCUGUUUGAGUGUCAUUAAAUUCUCAAUCUUCACCAUCUUGUGUUGAUUGGAUGUGGGAGUUUAUGUAGGAUUUUUUCGUGAAGUUCUACUCUCCUAAAAUGUAUUAGCUGGAAUGCCUUUGCAAAGCCAACUAUCAGUGUGAUAAUUAUCUAUGCUGGAGUUGCUGCAUAAAGGGAAUCUGCUUCUUAACCGUCCCUCUGGACAAUAUGAAUCAUUUUGACCUCAAAUCAGGUAGGACUACCCGCUGAACUUAA